rnacentral:rRNA from 1 species
ACGGGUGAGUAACGCGUGGGUAACCUGCCUUGUACUGGGGGACAACAGUUGGAAACGACUGCUAAUACCGCAUAAGCGCACAGCUUCGCAUGAAGCAGUGUGAAAAACUCCGGUGGUACAAGAUGGACCCGCGUCUGAUUAGCUGGUUGGUGAGGUAACGGCCCACCAAGGCGACGAUCAGUAGCCGGCCUGAGAGGGUGAACGGCCACAUUGGGACUGAGACACGGCCCAAACUCCUACGGGAGGCAGCAGUGGGGAAUAUUGCACAAUGGGGGAAACCCUGAUGCAGCAACGCCGCGUGAGUGAAGAAGUAUUUCGGUAUGUAAAGCUCUAUCAGCAGGAAAGAAAAUGACGGUACCUGACUAAGAAGCCCCGGCUAACUACGUGCCAGCAGCCGCGGUAAUACGUAGGGGGCAAGCGUUAUCCGGAUUUACUGGGUGUAAAGGGAGCGUAGACGGUUUUGCAAGUCUGAAGUGAAAGCCCGGGGCUUAACCCCGGGACUGCUUUGGAAACUGUAGGACUA